rnacentral:rRNA from 1 species
GACGAACGCUGGCGGCGUGCCUAACACAUGCAAGUCGAGCGAGGGGAGUUUCUUCGGAAACAAACCUAGCGGCGGACGGGUGAGUAACACGUGGGCAACCUGCCUUAUAGUGGGGAAUAGCCUCCCGAAAGGGAGAUUAAUACCGCAUAAUAUUACACUUUCGCAUGAAGGAGUAAUUAAAGGAGCAAUUCGCUAUAAGAUGGGCCCGCGGCGCAUUAGCUAGUUGGUGAGGUAAUGGCUCACCAAGGCGACGAUGCGUAGCCGACCUGAGAGGGUGAUCGGCCACAUUGGGACUGAGACACGGCCCAGACUCCUACGGGAGGCAGCAGUGGGGAAUAUUGCACAAUGGGGGAAACCCUGAUGCAGCAACGCCGCGUGAGUGAUGAAGGUCUUCGGAUCGUAAAGCUCUGUCUUCAGGGACGAUAAUGACGGUACCUGAGGAGGAAGCCACGGCUAACUACGUGCCAGCCGCCGCGGUAACAC